rnacentral:rRNA from 1 species
AUUGAACGCUGGCGGCAGGCUUAACACAUGCAAGUCGAGCGGAGCGAGGGUGCUUGCACCUUAGCUUAGCGGCGGACGGGUGAGUAAUGCUUAGGAAUCUGCCUAUUAGUGGGGGACAACAUUCCGAAAGGAAUGCUAAUACCGCAUACGCCCUACGGGGGAAAGCAGGGGAUCUUCGGACCUUGCGCUAAUAGAUGAGCCUAAGUCGGAUUAGCUCGUUGGUGGGGUAAAGGCCUACCAAGGCGACGAUCUGUAGCGGGUCUGAGAGGAUGAUCCGCCACACUGGGACUGAGACACGGCCCGGACUCCUACGGGAGGCAGCAGUGGGGAAUAUUGGACAAUGGGCGGAAGCCUGAUCCAGCCAUGCCGCGUGUGUGAAGAAGGCCUUUUGGUUGUAAAGCACUUUAAGCGAGGAGGAGGCUACUUAGAUUAAUACUCUGGGAUAGUGGACGUUACUCGCAGAAUAAGCACCGGCUAACUCUGUGCCAGCCGCCGCGGUAAAAC